rnacentral:rRNA from 1 species
CCUACGGGUGGCUGCAGUAGGGAAUAUUGGGCAAUGGAUGCAAGUCUGACCCAGCCAUGCCGCGUGGAGGAAGAAGGUCCUCUGGAUUGUAAACUCCUUUUGUCGGGGAAGAAUAGUUCUCUUGCGAGGGAAAGUGACGGUACCCGAUGAAUAAGCCACGGCUAACUACGUGCCAGCAGCCGCGGUAAUACGUAGGUGGCAAGCGUUGUCCGGAUUUAUUGGGUUUAAAGGGUGCGUAGGUGGUUUAAUAAGUCAGUGGUGAAAGCUGGUUGCUC